GUACACUCCUGCGGGAGGCAGCAGUGGGGAAUAUUGGACAAUGGGCGCAAGCCUGAUCCAGCCAUGCCGCGUGAGUGAUGAAGGCCCUAGGGUUGUAAAGCUCUUUUGUGCGGGAAGAUAAUGACGGUACCGCAAGAAUAAGCCCCGGCUAACUUCGUGCCAGCAGCCGCGGUAAUACGAAGGGGGCUAGCGUUGCUCGGAAUCACUGGGCGUAAAGGUGCGUAGGCGGGUCUUUAAGUCAGGGGUGAAAUCCUGGAGCUCAACUCCAGAACUGCCUUUGAUACUGAAGAUCUUGAGUUCGGGAGAGGUGAGUGGAACUGCGAGUGUAGAGGUGAAAUUCGUAGAUAUUCGCAAGAACACCAGUGGCGAAGGCGGCUCACUGGCCCGAUACUGACGCUGAGGCACGAAAGCGUGGGGAGCAAACAGGAUUAGAAACCCGUGUAGUCCCAUGA
rnacentral:rRNA from 1 species